GAUGAACGCUGGCGGCGUGCCUAAUACAUGCAAGUCGAGCGAACAGACGAGGAGCUUGCUCCUCUGACGUUAGCGGCGGACGGGUGAGUAACACGUGGAUAACCUACCUAUAAGACUGGGAUAACUUCGGGAAACCGGAGCUAAUACCGGAUAAUAUAUUGAACCGCAUGGUUCAAUAGUGAAAGACGGUUUUGCUGUCACUUAUAGAUGGAUCCGCGCCGCAUUAGCUAGUUGGUAAGGUAACGGCUUACCAAGGCAACGAUGCGUAGCCGACCUGAGAGGGUGAACGGCCACACUGGAACUGAGACGCGGUCCAGACUCCUACGGGAGGCAGCAGUAGGGAAUCUUCCGCAAUGGGCGAAAGCCUGCCGGAGCAGCGCCGCGUGAGUGAUGAAGGUCUUCGGAUCGUAAAACUCUGUUAUUAGGGAAGAACAAAUGUGUAAGUAACUAUGCACGUCUUGACGGUACCUAAUCAGAAAGCCACGGCUAACUACGUG
rnacentral:rRNA from 1 species